AGCCGGUGAGCUUCCUCUAAUAAAUAUUUACUCUCUUUUGUAGGAUCAUAAAUUUAUUUUUUAUAUUUUCAUUUUUAUAGGACAAAAAUAUUUUUAUUUUUAUGCCACCACAGUGAACGUACUUAUGGGUUUUAUGCCACGAGCAUACUCACAUGGGGCUUACUAUUUUUAACAUUUUUAUUUUCUUUUCAAGAUAGCAUGAU
rnacentral:lncRNA from 1 species